CUAUGGGCAACUGGACCACUCUUCCUCUGCACAGGUUUUGAUAAAUCUCCCCCAAUGUGUAGGAACCUUUUUAUAAUGCAAAGCCAACAAGAGCUACAUUAAGGGUCUAUUCACAAGAGAAUGAGCAUCUGAUGACAAGGUGAGGAGCAAAUAAUGUCUGGGCAUCAAACUCUGCAGUGGGAAGAUGUAGCUGGAAAUUGUCAUGGCAGUCUGGACCAAAGGAAGAAGACAAGGAAAGACUACAGAGAAGACAUCAAGACCGUCUGUCUUAUCUAAAAACAACAGAUGUAUGGAGUGCCACCCACACUACUACUAGACUUUACAGACACUACAGGAAGACUUGGUCCUGCUGUGCAUUGAUCUUAUUGAGUCCAGCAAACAAUAUACAGAUAUAUUCUUAUUGCAAGUGUAUGUGAUUUCUCAACUUCUGUUAGCAUCUAAUGCUGCUUCUGUACUGGGUACUUCUAUGUUCCUACAGUAUUGUGAACUAUACCAAAUGGCUACUUUAUAAAAUUUCCUAUAUAGAAAUCCUGGAGUGUAACAAGUUUUUUGUGGAUCAGUUUCAGUGUUUAUCCACAAUAGAUGCGACAAUUGAGUUAUUGCAGCAUGGGCAUGGUCAUCAAAAACUGCCAACUGUAUGAGGUUUCCUUGUGCAACAGUGUCAAAAGUACCAAGAGUAUAUCAAGUAUAGUGUGAUUGAGGAAAAAUAUCCAUCCAAUGGAUGUAAACAAAUCAUCUCGAGAGGGACAAAAGGGGUCAGAGAAAGAUGUCAAGAAUUGUUCUGAUGAACAGAUGGAGCUCCAAGUACCGUGUCGGAACACACAAGUCAUUCCUUGGCUAGAAGGAACACAACUGCAGACAACCAGUUUGAGUGCCAUACUGUCUAAAGAAAACAGAACAGCAAGACUCCAGUGGGCAAAAGAGUUAAAUCACAGACAAGUGGGAAAAAAAUUUCCUAGUCAGAUGGAUCUAGAUUUAUGUUGUACCAUGCUGAUGGGAGGGUCAGCAUUUGGAUUAAACAGCACGGAUUAAUGAAGCCUUCUUGUCGGGGAGUGAACACUUCAGGCCGGUGGAAGUGGUGUAAUGAUGUGGGGCAUAUUUUCUUGGCACACACUGGGUCUUCAGAUAUCUGUGAAACAAUAUUUGGGCAGUAUGGCUUAUCUAAGCAUUAUGGCCAGCCAAAUUCAUUCCUUCAUUUCAACAGUAUCCCUUAUGGCAAAAGGACACUUUCAGCAGUACAAUGCAGCUGUGUAUGCAACCUGAUUACCCAAGGACCAGUGCAGAUCCCCUUGGGUCUUCUGAAGAUCCCAUUCUUUUUCUUGUGGGACCAGUGUGUCUUCUGUAUUUCCUUCUUCAGAGAAAAGCAGCUGGUUGCAGUGCCUUCCCAUACAGCCAAUCACUGUUAGCAGCAGUGUCCUGACAUUGGGGGAUUUCACCAUUUGUUUCUUAUAUCGCAACUGUGUUUCAAAAUCACUAAAUUUACUUUUCCUAAUCGUGCAGCCCUAGCAGCCAGACACAGGUUACUAAAUUACUGAGCAUUUUUCUUCCGAAAUAAACUUAGUAAGGAACAGUCUUCAGUACAGUUUAAAAGUACAGUCUCUUGUACAAAGUAUUUCAGUAGUACAUAUGAGUAGGUACCCCUUGCUGGCCAUAGUGUAUUAAUGCAAUUGUGGGAUGUAAUAAAGAUUAUUUACUGCUCUAGCCUUCUCUAGAUGAUGUAAGAAAAAACUGUUUUAAAAUACUCCACUAAAGGGAUCUUCAUUUGUUGACUUCCAGUGGGGGUUAAACACAUAAAGACAGAGUACUCAUGAAAUUUAAGCUGCAGUGUC